CUAUUUACAAGAGAUGACAUCCAUGUGCAUGCAAGUGUCUGCGGGGAGAGGAAAAAGCUUUUCUAAGUUUCUUUUUAGUAUCUUACAAAGUCUGUUGCAUUUUGUAUCCACUUGCUUAAAAUUCAUAAUCCCACUGUAGAGUCCCCUCAUCGUCCCCCCUUUUAUUAAAGAAUUAGGACAGAUGAUGGAUUAAGGUUACCUGUUUAUGGAAUUUUUGUUAUUGUUGAUCUUUACAGCAACACAGAUGAGGGAGAUACAGAUAUUAGAGAGGACACCGAUGAGCACUUCGGCAGCGUAUCGGACAUCCUGAUGUCACUUGAAAAGAAAGUUGACACAUCCCGGGUCAUUCAACAUCAAUGUGACAAGAGAGGACCUGUUUCAAAGGGGGCUGAAACAGUGGGCCAGGCAAAAACAGGCCUCCCCAAAGAAUCUCCUCAGGGUCUCCUUCAUUGGAGAAAAUGGAAUUGACCAAGGCGCUCUUCGUAAAGAGUUCCUUACCGAAAUGGUGUGUGGAAUUGAAGCACGUUUUUUUGAAGGAGAUGGGGAAAGGGGCAAAAACCCUAAAUACAGUAUCUGUGACUACCAGGACAACAGUUUCAAGACUUGUGGGGAGAUUUUUGCCACAAGUUUGGUGCAGGGGGGGUCCUGCACCAAACUUCCUUUCAAGAUGGUGCUACCAUUUCUUGUGCCAUGGGGAGAUGGACAAGGAUGUUGGUGUACUCGAAGUCACUGAUCAGGAUAUUAAAAAUCUGAUGACAGAGGU